rnacentral:rRNA from 1 species
UACGGAGGGGGCUAGCGUUGUUCGGAAUUACUGGGCGUAAAGCGCACGUAGGCGGCUUUGUAAGUUAGAGGUGAAAGCCCGGGGCUCAACUCCGGAAUUGCCUUUAAGACUGCAUCGCUAGAAUUGUGGAGAGGUAAGUGGAAUUCCGAGUGUAGAGGUGAAAUUCGUAGAUAUUCGGAAGAACACCAGUGGCGAAGGCGACUUACUGGACACAUAUUGACGCUGAGGUGCGAAAAGCGGUGGGGAGCAAACAGG